rnacentral:rRNA from 1 species
GGGUAAUGGCCUACCAAACCUAUGACGGGUAGGGGGCGUGAGAGCGCGUUCCCCCAGAAUGGGACUGAGACCAAAACUGAUCUCCUGCAGAAGCAAUUCUGCAGUAAAAUUUGGCUAAUAACGGUGGAGCCCUACUUGACUUUCGGAUAAACUUCGGUUUAUUGUUAGUUAAGGGGUAAUACCGUGGGAAGUCGACUAAGUGUAACCAAACAAAAUGUGUUCGCCUAUAUUGCUGGAUUUCUCGAUGCUGAUGGUUAUAUAACUAUCAAAAUUGAGAAAAGUAAAACCAACAGGUUAGGUGAAAGAGGAAGGGUUCGGGUUGGAUUUGCUCAAAACAAAUCAAGAAUUUUUGUUCUUGAUAAGCUUUGUAAAUUCAUAAAAUCCGGAGUUGUAUCUGAAUAUAAUCAUAACAAUAUGGCUGAGUAUGUAGUUAACGAUCAGAAAGUGAUUUUUGAAUUGUUAACGAAACUCAAACCAUUUGUUAUUGUUAAAAAGAAACAAUUAAGACUCGCUUUAGAGUUUUUGCUUCUUAAAGAGUUUGGUUAUUCGAUAAAAUCUUUGAGAAAGAUGAAAAAUUUAGAGGUUAAAAUGUCUAAAUUUAAUAGUUAUCCAAAGAUGUCUGACCCCGUAACGACUGAAGCUUAAGUGCUGAGAUAUAAGUUUAAUACACUUAUAUAAGAUGCCAACUCCUAUAUUACCCCUUUGGGUGGUGUAGGUUGAAGAUAUAGUCUGCGCCAUUAGUAAUAAUGGAAUAAGUGACGGCCCAUACACCUACGGGUGGCAGCAACAGGGAAUCGUACGCAAUGGACGAAAGUCUGACGUCGCAAUGCCGCGUGGAGGAUGAAGGCCUUCGGGUCGUAAACUCCUUUUACAGUAAUAGAGAUGUUAUUGAGAAUAAGCACCUGCUAACUCUGUGCCAGCAGCAGCGGUAAUACAGAGGGUGCAAGCGUUAUCCGGAUUUAUUGGGCGUAAAGCGUUUCGUAGGUUUCUAGAUAAGUUACUCUUCAAAGACCACGGCUCAACCGGGGGAAGGGGAGUAAUACUAUCUGGAUUGAAAUAUGGUGGGGCUUCCGGAACUGAUGGUGUAGUAGUGAAAUACGUUGAUAUCAUCAGGAACUCCGAGGGCGAAGGCAGGAAGCUAACUAUUUUUUGACACUGAUGAACGACAGCUAGGGGAGCGAAAGGGAUU